GCGUUGGUGGUGCAGAGGUUACCAUACACACUCGGAAAGAGUGAGAUCUGGGUUCGAAUCCCGGCCGACGCA